rnacentral:misc_RNA from 1 species
GAUGAAGAACGUAGCGAAAUGCGAUAAGUAAUGCGAAUUGCAGAAUUUCCGUGAGUCAUCGAAUCUUUGAACGCACAUUGCGCCCUUUGGCAUUCCGAAGGGCAUGCCUGUUCGAGCGUCAUUUAUCAACCCUCAAGCCCGGCUUGCGGUUGGGUCCCGCCGUGGGCGACCACGGCGGACCCGAAAGGUAAUGGCGGUGCCCGUGGGGCCCUGGACGCAGCGAGCUUCUCGGCACGCGUCCCGGCGGUCCCCGGCGCCGUCUCCACCAAUCCACCACGCAGAUUGACCUCGGAUCAGGUAGGGAUACCCGCUGAACUUAAGCAUAUCAAUAAGCGGAGGA